UUUUUUUUUUUUUUUUUUUUUUUUUUUUUUUUAGUAGAACUUCAGUAGCCCAUGUGGCAGUUUUUCAGGUAAAGAAGUAUCCAUAGAAACUCAAAACAUUAUGAAGAAGCAAGUUUGGUAUAUGAGCUUUAAGUGGUAAUAACCUGCCUGUUGUUGCAUAAUCCUCUUAGUUGAUGCCAGCUGGAUCUGUGGUUCAACAGCUGAAUGAUAAUGAGUUAAGCAUCUGCCAAAAAGUAUAGUUUCUAAUCUGGUAUUCUCAAAUUUUGAUAACGAGCAAGUACACAAUUUCAGUUGUGUAAAUAUUUUUCAUUUUCAGUGCAGUUUUUCUGUAGUGCUAAAAACUUCUCUAAAAAGUAUUUUUGACUAUAGUUCUAAAGAAAUUUGCAAUUAUGGUAAAUUCUGUUAAAAAGAAAAAAAUCCAAACCACAAAUUUUUUGUCCAUCUCAGCCUAAGGUUGGUACCAGUUUUUGUAAAAUUGACUUCGGAAAAUUUUGGAAAUCCAAUGGAAAGAGUUCAUCAUGUGAUCACUGUGGUGCCCUUGCUGGUAUUUAAGGUGUAGAAAUUAAAGCAUAAUUAAUGUGAAGUAACAAUGUCAGAACUUUGCAGCUAAGUAACUUCCAUCUUCAAUGUGUUAAAGGAUUUUCUUAGGUACAACCAAAAUUGUUUCCUUUGUUUAUGGCUAAUCAGUUUAUAGGAAUAUUUAGGUGUCAGUUAUGAAGAACAAACUCUUAGCAACAGAACUGUUAAGCAGCAUCACUUGGAGUGAUCAGUUUCUCAAGCUGGUGGUUUCAAUACCUUCUUAGAGUUGUCACUUAACUCAUUUGCCUUGUCUGCAAGGAGUCUGGUUUAGUUGUCUCAGCAGUUCUAAACCAUAAUGUUGUGACACAGCACAGUCAUUUUCUAGACUGCUUUCCAGCUAUGUAAGUGGGAACAAGAACUCUAAUCUAGAGUGAGCCAGCUUAGAUCACUGAGAAUUAGUUCCUGCAAAGAAAAAAAGAUUAAUAGCUUUGAAGUUGAAAGCUGACAUUGUAUUGGGGUUUGUUUAAGGUUGUAGCUUUAUGUAAAACCAUUGCAGUUAAUCUAAUCUGGAAAAACUACUGCUUCCUCUCCAGAUUUUUAUAUUUUUGUAGAAAGAACAACUGGCUUCAGAAGUGACUGGCCAGGUAUGAGUGGUAAGACUUUGCCUGACCUUAUGUUUUACAGUAAUUGCUGCAAAGUUAAUUGGUUUUUUGUUUUGGUUUGGUGAGGUUUUUUUCCCUCUUUCAAAUCCAUCUGGAUAAGUUUUAUAGUACACGCAUUUCAGCUGUUACUACCAGCAUUUCUCAGAAAUGGUUCUGAAGCAGGUAAGUAAUAGGUCUUUAUCAGUAGUAACACUCAAAUUGUAUAGAAAAAUUCUACAGGAUUUUGAAAGAUCCUUAAAAAUAAAAAAUAGAACUUAGUCAUCACUAAAAUUCAGUAGGCCUAGCCGUCAGCUGUUUAAUUUCUGUGUUUGCUAGUACACAGUGACAGAAACAGGCUUAACUAUUCAAGUUAAAAAAAAAAGAAAGGUUACUCACAUUUAGCUAACUGGUCCAUUGCUUAUGCUUCAAAAUAGGAACCUGAAAAAUGUUUUCAUGGUGUAGUUUAUGUAGCAAGAAGUGAUGGACAUACGAUAAUAUUGCCACCUAUUGUGCAAUUUUACCACAUGCCCGGGGCAACAGUUGGAGCUUAUCUAAGUAAUUAUAUAUAUUAGGACAAUAUUGUUGUGUUUUCUGUUGUUUUCAGGGAACUUGUUUAGCUGCUAUGGAGAAAAACCCCUGAGCUUGAUGUGAUCAAUACUUCAUAAAUUAGUGGCAGGUGCUCUGCAAGCCAUAAUGAUGAACUAUCCUUGAAAAUCAUGAGGGAAUUAUUUUUUGCCAUUUUGCAGCUCCUGAAGGAGUUGCACAGCUGACAGAGCAUAUUGCCCGUCACCAUGCCAGACUUGGCAUUUGAAAGCCUGCCAGAUUGCUCUGUGCUGUUGUGCUAGCCCAUGGGUCAGCGAUUUGCAACAGUAUGAAGAUAGUAAAUGUUUUAAUUUUUUGCUCUUUGUAGGAUCAGAUGAGUUAGCACUACAUUUAUAAAGAGCCCAAUCUGUUUUCUGAACCUGCCAGGUACUUGUGCUGUGUUUCUUGGGUAGGUUAGCCCCCGUACUGCAGGAAUCUAUAGAGGAACUACAUUCUUGAUACUAAAACUUCUAUUAGUAUCUAAGUUUGAAGUCACUCUGCUUUUCAUGUUUUAUGUAAUUUUAUUAUGCUUCAGCAUUUCUUUCAUAAUCUCCCUGAUUUUACUAAUGCACAAUAUUGCAAAAGCAGUAUAAAACUAGUCAACAGACUAAAUCAUUUGUGCAUCUCUAAACCUCUUAUGCUGAUUAAAAGUGUUAAGGCUAUUAGUAUUUUUUUUAUGUAACUGGAUCUAAAUUUAGUUUCUGUUGCAGUCAAAAACCAUGCUGGUAUUGCAAACGGUGAUCCUAAUCUGCUUUCUCAUGGAGUCGAUGGCAACAGUUCUUCAGCC
rnacentral:lncRNA from 1 species